AUUGAACGCUGGCGGCAUGCCUUACACAUGCAAGUCGAACGGCAGCAUAGGAGCUUGCUCCUGAUGGCGAGUGGCGAACGGGUGAGUAAUAUAUCGGAACGUGCCCUAGAGUGGGGGAUAACUAGUCGAAAGACUAGCUAAUACCGCAUACGAUCGUACGGAUAGAAAGGUGGGGAUCGACAAGACCUCAUGCCUCCGUGGAGCCGGCCGAUAUCUGAUUAGCUAGUUGGUAGGGGUAAAGCCUACCAAGGCAACGAUCAGUAGCUGGUCUGAGAGGACGACC
rnacentral:rRNA from 1 species